UACAGAGGGUGCAAGCGUUGCUCGGAUUUACUGGGCGUAAAGCGUACGCAGACGGCCACGCAGGUCGGGUGUGAAAGCCCCGGGCUCAACCCGGGAAUUGCAUUCGAAACCAUGUGGCUCGAGUGUGGGAGAGGGUAGUGGAAUUCCUGGUGUAGAGGUGAAAUUCGUAGAUAUCAGGAGGAACACCGGCGGCGAAGGCGGCUACCUGGUCCACAACUGACGUUCAGGUACGAAAAGCGUGGGGGAGCAAACAGG
rnacentral:rRNA from 1 species